AAGUCGUAACAAGGUCUUCGUAGGUGAACCUGCGGAGGGAUCAUUACCGAGUUAGGGUCCUCAUCGGGCCCGACCUCCCAACCCAUUGUUUAUGAUACCUAGUGUUGCUUCGGUAGGCCUGGUCUAUCUGUUAUAGACCUGCCGGGGGGCCGUAAGACGCCCGCCGGAGAGUGCCUACCGACAGCCUCAACUCCAAAAUUCUUUAACCAAACGUGUCUUUGUCUGAGUAACGUCUUUUAAAAUAAAGCAAAACUUUCAACAACGGAUCUCUUGGUUCUG
rnacentral:misc_RNA from 1 species